rnacentral:rRNA from 1 species
AGGCUUAACACAUGCAAGUCGAACGAAGUUAGGAAGCUUGCUUCUGAUACUUAGUGGCGGACGGGUGAGUAAUGCUUAGGAAUCUGCCUAGUAGUGGGGGAUAACUUGGGGAAACCCAAGCUAAUACCGCAUACGACCUACGGGUGAAAGGGGGCUUUUAGCUCUCGCUAUUAGAUGAGCCUAAGUCGGAUUAGCUGGUUGGUGGGGUAAAGGCCUACCAAGGCGACGAUCUGUAGCUGGUCUGAGAGGAUGAUCAGCCACACUGGGACUGAGACACGGCCCAGACUCCUACGGGAGGCAGCAGUGGGGAAUAUUGGACAAUGGGCGAAAGCCUGAUCCAGCCAUGCCGCGUGUGUGAAGAAGGCCUUUUGGUUGUAAAGCACUUUAAGUGGGGAGGAAAAGCUUAUGGUUAAUACCCAUAAGCCCUGACGUUACCCACAGAAUAAGCACCGGCUAACUCUGUGCCAGCAGCCGCGGUAAUACAGAGGGUGCAAGCGUUAAUCGGAAUUACUGGGCGUAAAGCGCGCGUAGGUGGUUAUUUAAGUCAGAUGUGAAAGCCCCGGGCUUAACCUGGGAACUGCAUCUGAUACUGGAUAACUAGAGUAGGUGAGAGGGGAGUAGAAUUCCAGGUGUAGCGGUGAAAUGCGUAGAGAUCUGGAGGAAUACCGAUGGCGAAGGCAGCUCCCUGGCAUCAUACUGACACUGAGGUGCGACAGCGUGGGUAGCAAACAGGAUUAGAUACC